rfam:Pachysolen tannophilus NRRL Y-2460 unplaced genomic scaffold PACTA_scaffold_10, whole genome shotgun sequence.
GGGAGAAUAGUUUAAUGGUAAAACGUUUGACUUUUAAUCAAAUUAUGUUUGGUUCAAAUCCAACUUUUCCUA